GAUGAACGCUGGCGGCGUGCCUAAUACAUGCAAGUCGAGCGAACAGAUGAGGAGCUUGCUCCUCUGAUGUUAGCGGCGGACGGGUGAGUAACACGUGGAUAACCUACCUAUAAGACUGGGAUAACUUCGGGAAACCGGAGCUAAUACCGGAUAAUAUAUUGAACCGCAUGGUUCAAUAGUGAAAGACGGUCUUGCUGUCACUUAUAGAUGGAUCCGCGCUGCAUUAGCUAGUUGGUAAGGUAACGGCUUACCAAGGCAACGAUGCAUAGCCGACCUGAGAGGGUGAUCGGCCACACUGGAACUGAGACACGGUCCAGACUCCUACGGGAGGCAGCAGUAGGGAAUCUUCCGCAAUGGGCGAAAGCCUGACGGAGCAACGCCGCGUGAGUGAUGAAGGUCUUCGGAUCGUAAAACUCUGUUAUUAGGGAAGAACAAAUGUGUAAGUAACUGUGCACAUCUUGACGGUACCUAAUCAGAAAGCCACGGCUAACUACGUG
rnacentral:rRNA from 1 species